ensembl:ncRNA W10C8.8 ncRNA
AGAAUGACGGGAAAAAAAAGCGAAAAAUGUUCGAAUGAAGAAGUUCCUCCAAUUAUAAAAUGCAAAUAAACGUAGAACCCAGCAGGAGGUAGGAGGGAGGAUAGUGGAACGAGGAAAACGAGGCGAAAAGGAUCCAUAAAAUUCAAAUAAAUGACGGACCGGGGGACGUGAGAAGAAGGGGGGAAGAAGACAAGAGGCGGUUGGUGGUGGUGUAUGCGCGCGCUGUCGGUAGUGCACCAUGGCCCCCCGCUACACCAAUUUCUCUGCGUCUCUCGCUUUCAUCGCUCAUCAAGGGGCCGCCCAUGCUAAAUGGUGUGUGAGAAGGCCCUGUGUGUGUGCGCAGGUGGCCGACAAUAAUAGCUGUAGAAGA